AAAAAAUAAAAUAAAAAGGGUAAUUCAUGUCAUAUUUUAUUAAUGGCUUUUAUUAUUUUUAAUUAAAAUUGAAGUGUUUAUUGAAUUAUAUGUUUGUAAAUGACGAUUUAAUAUUACAAAAUACUACCUAUAGUUUGUACACACCUGCUACCAUUUUAAUGGAUUUCUUUAUUCAGACAUCACAUUAUACAAAGCCUCACACAGUCUUCUUAUUUCCUUGCCUAAUUCUCAAUAUGAGGUGAGUUAAUAAUAAUGGGAUUGGCAAGUGUUGUUUGUGGUCAUUCGUCCACAUGGUCUUUCCUUAAAUAACCCAGCUUAGUUCUUUUUCUCUGUUGGGAAUCUGUUUCCUGAGAAUUCAUGAAUUUCCUUUAGAAGGGAUAUUUCCUGGACUAGGGGCCCCAAUUUCACUUGGAAAAGGUUCUUAAAAGUGCCUUAUAUAUGUACAUCAAAAAUAAUUAUUAUGCAAGUGGUGUUUAUUCAGUGGAGCUGCUGAUAAGCAGAGAAGGGAACAUAUACCUGGGCAGCUGUCAAAAGUUAUUCCCUUUGCUGUUUUGAGGUUUUUGGUACUAUGUGUGCCUCAAUUCAAUCUGUAAACCAAAUAUCUUCCUGAUCCACCAAGCAGAAAUUUAGAGAAAUUUUCUUUUAAUUUUAUGGAUGACCUGUACUGAUUGAAUGGACAUUUUUUUCCCGAGUCUCUCUAGCAAAAUAGAUAACAGGAAUGCAUGUCAAGGUACAAUAUAUAUUUUUAUUAAAAAUUAUUAAGUUUUGAGUUUAUAAUAUGAUUACUUAAUUCAUUCCUAUUUUUUCUUCCUAUAAAUCCUCUGAUUCAUACCUGCUUACUCUUUAAUUUCAUGGUCUUUUUUAACUAUAAGUUGAUGUUACACAUCUGAAACUAUAACUAUUUGCAUAUAUCAUUCCAAGUAAUGAAUUACACCCUUUUUUGUUUGUGCAAUAUAAUUUUAUAUGUUUUCAGGGUGGCCCAUUAUCCAUUUUUGUGUGUGGUUAACAUAUUAAAGUAUUUCUUUUUAAAACUCUUGGAUUAGUUACAUUUUCUCAAGUGUUCUUUGCUUUAGCUCAUAUGGAAGAAAAUUAUUUAGUCCUUUGAGCAUUCCUAUAGACACUUACUUGUCUAAAGUUCACAUGAAACUCUAGCUGGCAUCCAUGUACCUCAGACUUUCAGAAGUAUAUUCUUCAGUUGUUUAGUUGAUAUCAGGACUCCUGUUAUACUUUUCUACUUCCUGAACACUUAGGAAAUUUUCUUUUCUCCAGCAUCAUGUGGCAGAUUAGGAGCCCAUAGAAACACACCAAGUAGCCCCAACUAGAGGGUGCAUAUAGGAAAUUUAUCUCCUUUGCAAUAAAAACUGUACAUCUUAGAAAGUAUUAUAUUUAUUAAUACUUCAGAGUUUAAUUUUAAGAUAUUGGAAGUGCAAAGAAUGCUCCUAUCUUGUUCUUAUUUUUUUAGACAAUGUUAUCAAUACAUGAUUUAUUGUGGUUUAGUAAAUAUUUUAAACAAUUUUAACCAUUACAACUAAAGAAUGACAAGAAUGUAGCACUGUAUUGAUUAGAAGUUUCUGACUAUUCAUGCUUAAACAUUUCUGUUUUAUUUAAAGUCUCUGAUGUUUAGUAUUUUAGUUGUUCAAGAUAAUCUCAGACUGAGUCAAGGAAGGGAGAAGGUUCUCCCCAACUGACAAGAAGUUCUUGCUGAAGAUACAGUCAUAACAACUACCUAGUGGUAAUGUAAAUCUUGGGAUUUAUCCUAUUCUUGAGUGGUUUUUGUAUGUAAAAUUCCAUUUAUAUUUUUAUUUCAUGUGUUAGCAUGUGUGCUUGCCAUACUUUAAAAUCCUUAUAUUAUGUGUAUGUCUUAGUAUUUCUUUAGAAGUCACAGGAUAUUCUCACAUGUAGACAUAGUUAAUGUUUUUAAAGCAUACAAGCACCACCUGUCCAUUUCUCCAGUAAUUGCUCUGAGGACAAUAUCCAGUGAACGCUCUGUGAAAUGGCAUAAACUUGAAUCAUUUCCUGUUUAUCUUUUGGGAAAAUACUGAAGGUUUAGGACUUUAGGUAUUUUCUUCCAUUUAAAUUUAUGAAAUUACAGUUCUACUCCUGAACUGAUUUGUUGAAUCUUUUUUUUUCUUCUCAGAUGAAUCUUUAAUUUUUGAAGUUAACAUGAAAUUUAUUUGUGAGUUCAUUGCUAAAAGAGUUAAGUUUGAUGAAUCGCAUUGCAUUUCCUUAUGAAGCAUGAAGUAGUCAUGUCAUACAUACUUCAUGGAACACAGAUUUCCACCAUGCUUACUGACAUUUAUGGAAGUCCAGUAUUUCUUCUAUCUCCCAAGCCUGCUCAUGGUAAUCUCAGACUCAGGCAUGGAUGAAAUACUUCUCCGCAACUUCUGAGAAGGCUUCAUUGAAGACAUACUCACCAUACCUACCCUGUGGUAUUGUCCUGAUACUUGAGAGGAGAAUUUAAGAUGAGUGAGUGGUUCCCGAGGAGUCCCAAGAUGAAGGAUGGGAAUCAGGACCAGGGAAAGAUUGAAUAAUAUCUGGAUUGAAUCUGACCUGUUUUGGUGGGUUCAGUUCAGCUCCCUGGAACUUAUAGGAGUCCUUAGAGUUUGUGAGAACAUAAGUACAAGAUAUAUUAGCAGGAUAUUUAUGUUAGAUUUGACUUGGCUGAAAGCAUUGACUUUUUAAAAUUACAGAUAUUAUUUAAGACAAUGAAAAGCAUCUUAAUCUUGACAUUGUACUGAUGGUCGUACAGUCGUAUUUUAGAUCUUUAUUGACUAGAACAGUAGCAUGAGAAACGAGAAAUCUGGAACAUAUUAUUUUUAAAGACUCAAACCACUUUAUCAUUAGUUAAGACAUUUAUUCUUAGGCCUUCAUAAUUUUAAUUUAUAUAUCUAACUUUACUAUGUUAGGCCUUCCAUUCCAGACCUUCAUAACUUGCAUUUAACCAGCUUGUGUAGACCUUUCCGUUUUCAGACCUUUGGAACUUACAUUCCCCGACCUUAUACUUUCCUAUUAUCACAUAGAUAGACCUUAAAAUACCUGUUCCUAAAAUACGAUUUGUUUUAAGCUGGCAAUACUACCAGUCAUCAAAAGUAUCAGAAUUCUUGAGAAAGAAAAUAUUUUACUUGAGUUAAUGAUUAAAGAAUAACAGAGACUUGUCAGAGGCUGCAUGGACAGCCACUCCCAAGGUUCCCCAUGGUUGUGGGCUGCAGGACAUUUGAAUUCUUGCUGAUAGCAUCUGACAGGAUUGCAGCGAAG